CCUACGGGAGGCAGCAGUGAGGAAUAUUGGUCAAUGGACGAGAGUCUGACCCAGCCAAGUAGCGUGAGGGAUGACUGCCCUCUGGUUUGUAACCUUCUUUUAUAUGGGAAUAAAACGUUCCACGUGUGGGAUUUUGUAUGUACCAUAUGAAUAAGGAUCGGCUAACUCCGUGCCAGCAGCCGCGGUAAUACGGAGGAUCCGAGCGUUAUCCGUAUUUAUUGGGUUUAAAGGGAGCGUAGGUGGAUUGUUAAGUCAGUUGUGAAAGUUUGGGGCUCAACCGUAAAAUUGCAGUUGAAACUGGCAGUCUUGAGUACAGUAGAGGUGGGCGGAAUUCGUGGUGUAGCGGUGAAAUGCUUAGAUAUCACGAAGAACUCCGAUUGCGAAGGCAGUUCACUGGACUGCAACUGACACUGAGGCUCGAAAGUGUGGGUAUCAAACAGGAUUAGAUACCCGUGUAGUC
rnacentral:rRNA from 1 species